rnacentral:tRNA from 1 species
CCCGCUGGCGAUCGGGAUCGGCGCGCCUCUCAUACGGGCGACGACGGUGGUUCGACUCCACCCAGCGGGACCA